CAGCCGCCACGGUAAUACAGAGGGUGCAAGCGUUAAUCGGAAUUACUGGGCGUAAAGCGCGCGUAGGUGGUUUGUUAAGUUGGAUGUGAAAGCCCCGGGCUCAACCUGGGAACUGCAUCCAAAACUGGCAAGCUAGAGUACGGUAGAGGGUGGUGGAAUUUCCUGUGUAGCGGUGAAAUGCGUAGAUAUAGGAAGGAACACCAGUGGCGAAGGCGACCACCUGGACUGAUACUGACACUGAGGUGCGAAAGCGUGGGGAGCAAACAGGAUUAGAUACCCGUGUAGUCCCUGUCUCUUAUAC
rnacentral:rRNA from 1 species